rnacentral:rRNA from 1 species
CCUACGGGUGGCUGCAGUCGAGGAUCUUCGUCAAUGGGGGCAACCCUGAACGAGCGAUGCCGCGUGCGCGAUGAAGGCCUUCGGGUUGUAAAGCGCUUUAGUGGGGGAGAAAAGCCGCAAGGUGUGAUCUAUCCCAAAAAUAAGCUCGGGCUAAGUUCGUGCCAGCAGCCGCGGUAAGACGAACCGAGCGAACGUUGUUCGGAAUCACUGGGCUUAAAGGGCGCGUAGGCGGGCUAUCAAGUCUGGGGUGAAAUGCCACGGCUCAACCGUGGAACUGCCUCGGAUACUGACGGCCUCGAGGGAGGUAGGGGCAUGCGGAACUGUAGGUGGAGCGGUGAAAUGCGUUGAUAUCUACAGGAACUCCGGUGGCGAAAGCGGCGUGCUGGACCUCUUCUGACGCUGAGGCGCGAAAGCUAGGGGAGCAAACGGGAUUAGAUACC